rnacentral:lncRNA from 1 species
UGUGACCGAGGGGACCGGCAGCGGCGUAAGGAGUCUUCCUCUCUAACGCUGGCAACGUCGACACCGCUGGCAAGCUUCUCUCCGGUUUGAUCCUUUCUCAUCUGCUCUCUACCCCUCUCUCUAUCUUUCUACGUCCAGUUGCUGCACAUCCACAUCGGCUCCUAGAUCCCGACCACCGCCCUGCUCUCCGACGGCGUCGGCGAGGCCGCGCAGAUCUACUGUGAGCUCGCCCGCCUCAGGUUCCUAUUCCAUCUCGAAUUCGGAGUCUUCUCUCGUCCCUAUCCCCCUCCAGCACCGCCACAGCCGAAACCUUUGCCCGACAACGCGACAAGCAGCUUCAAUCCAGUUCCUUGGAGGUCGCGUUAGAGCGUGGUUGAAUCUGACGAAGUUGAAAGACCCCCUCACUCGCGCCGCCUCCUCGUCCGUGAAGGUCGGCAGCCUGGACCCGACGUUCUUCCUCAUCACCGGAGGGUAGUCCCCGAACACCAUAGGAUGCAUGAACCAUCCGAUGUGGAAAUCGUCCAUCCUUGCGGCUACCGCGACAUCGUUGGGAGUCUGAGUCCUAGGAUCGUACCACCAACCAAGCAAGGUCAGUCCAAUCCGUCCUCCUUGCUCAGCUUGGUACUUGUCUCUGUACAGGGACACUGUACACGCGUGCACAAGCAAGCGGUGGUGCGCCGCUACGUAUGGCUCCAUGGUGGAGUUGCCUUCCUCGCAGCCGAAGCUGAAGGGGGACGAGCAUCGCCGUGGUGGCAGGAUUCCUUGAUCGUACCCACCGAUCGUCUCGACGUUGGGCUCGUUGAUGGUGCUCCAGUACUUCACCCUGUCGCCGAAGUUGCUGAAGCACACGUCUGCGUAUGCCGUGAAGUCCUCUCUGCGUCAUCAAGAUUGAAAGUGGCAAGAUGAGUACUAUCUUAGCUUAGGAGGCCACGGGAACUGUGAAAUAAAUAAGUACAUACAUGAAUCAUCCGAUCUUCUGAUGAUCCGCUGCAACUUUGAAAACUAACGCAGCGCUGUUUGUUAGAUAACUCUGGCUAGUCCCUAUCAUUUGAGUUUCAGUCUGAGCCAAGUUAGUCAGUUAGCUAGUGUUCAGUUAGGCGUCAUUUAGUCAGUUAGCGUUCAGCCGGAGGUUGUUCGAGCUGAGCGAAUCACAUGGAGAAGAGUGACCGUCAUUCAGUCAGUUAGAGUCUCUGUGUUUCAGUCUCUGUGUUUUGUUUUCCUAGUAUUAAUAGAGUUCAGAAAACGCUGUUACUUUUGAGCAGCAACAAAACUCGUCUCUGUCAGUGCGCUCUCUGUUCUUUGUUUCAGUGAGUUCUGAGAGCCGUGAGAUCCUGUCGAUCUUUGUUUCAUCACUGUUGACCCCCAACUCCAACGGUACUGCAACAUCAAGGCUGCUUGCUUGUUUCUUUCAAAAUUAUAAGACUUUAUGAUAUUUGUACAUACAUAAUUUAUUUCUUACUGAUGCUUAUAUGAACCAAUAAUUUAUCUAUUUUCAGAUUGUCCCUGCUCCAGUAAGAGUAGGCGAGGACGAGCCUCCCCCAUCUUGGGUGUUGGUGCCUGACCCAUUUUCUCAAGGUACUAGCCAAAACCUAAAGAAAUUGAAUUAUAUGAACUCCAUAACUAGCUUUAGUAAUUAAUUUUCCUUAUGUCUCUUGAUGCUACUUUUAGUUUUGCUAUGGAUAUGAGCAAUAGAGAUCACCUUAGGAGGAGGGAGGAGGAUGAUGAUGACCUCUUCCUUUUGAUUCUCCCUUCCCUACAUCUCUUGGGCUAUCUUGGACGUAGUAAAAAGAAAUUGAGGCAUACAUCAGCGCUGACCGGGGAGGAAAAGGUUCGAGAGCUACUUGAAGGCCAUAUCAAGAACUGCAGGGUAUCAUUUAGAAUGGAACCUUACAUUUUCAAAUCCUUGGCCAACUAUCUUAGAAUGGAAGGAUUGGUUAAAGAUACAAGAAUCAAAGUUGAGGAAAAACUUGGCUUCUUCCUAUACAUGAUUAGCCACAAUGCGACAUUUGAAGAUCUCCAAGUCUUUUUUGGUCAUAGCAAUGAUACAUUUCACCGUGUCAUCAAACAUUUCUUCGACAUUGUUAUCCCUGGCCUUAGCAUGUGGUUCCUAAAGCCUCCUUCCAAUCAAGUUCAUCCUAAAAUUCAUGGAGACAACCGAUUUUAUCCAUACUUCAAGGUGACUUCUUUUAACUCUUAUGUGUCCAUCUUAGAACAUCCUCAAUAUUAGAUCUUAGAAGAUCGUUUCUUUUUUUUUGCAGAAUUGCAUAGGUUCUGUCGGUACCCAGAAACUAGGGUACCCCUUACUACUGUGUAAAGACACAGUACCCACGCGGCUUUCUUUAGUCGCGUGGUAAAAGAGCUGUAUGUGGGACUAGGCCAUAACUCGCCCGAGCAUCGAGCGACUACUCUGGGCCAGCAACAGCGCCUGACCCCUCCAUAUAGGUGGGUCCGGGUCCGCCAUGUGUCCAGAGAAAGUGAUAUACUUCAAGACAUCAAUAGUGAGUCCGGACCUCCAUGGGAAAGUGUCGGACCCCUGUAUAUACAGACCGGACCUCCAAGUUUGGUCCAGGACCCCCACGUGUACGGACCGGACCCCUAGAAUGGGAUCCGGACCCCCCCGUAUGGGGUCGAGGCCGCCCAUAGUAGGGUCCCAAGGUCCUAGGACAGAACACGCCCGAGCUUUAAUCAGGGCCAACAGGCAGAACCUAGCAUGACGCCUCUGGGCUACGUGCGCCUUCGCAUUCAUUACGGAUAAGGCAUGCACCUGUCCAUUCCACUGACAGGCGGUGUGCCCAGUUCAUAAUACGUGGGUCGCGCAAUUACUUGCACGUUACUAUAUCGAGGGCAAUAACUCACCAUUACUUGUGCGGGUUACUACCUAUCAAUGCUGCAUGGACUGCAUCCAUCAUGACUUCCGCUAAUUACUCAUGCGUUACUCUGUCAGCAUUAUUUAUUCCCAUAAUGUAUUUCUUCCAUUAUGCUCCUGGGCCUGCAUGUCGGGGCUCAGCAUCCUUGUAUGUGCCUCUCUUAAACUAUAAAAUGGAAGGCACACAACGUUACAAGGACACACUCAAUCAUACUCUCAAUACUACUUACACACAGUGGAGGUAGGGUAUUACGCUCCAGCGGCCUGAACUACUAUAAUCCCUCGUGUCCUCAUGUGUUCAUCCCGAAUUUACCAAACAGGCAACCGCUUAGGCCCCCUCCUCAUCUUAGAAUUAGGGCGGGUGCGUUUUGCCACCCGGCCAGUGGAUUUUCCCAUCGACAUUUGGCGCACCAGGUAGGGGGCUUUUGGCUUGAGGUUUUUCGCUUGUUUUCCUGCUCAACACGAUGGUUUAGAUCAUCGAGCACCGCGACUUGAUUCCUGAGGACUUCCUGAUGGAGGAAGAGGCAGCAUCUUCCAUGCCACGAAGUUCCAACUGCCCUGCGACCGAUGAUGCUGUUAUGCACGCUGCGCAGCAGCACACGCAUGUGCAGACAUCUAGGGCUCCGUCAAGGGCUGCUCCUGGGGCGUUGUCUGCAGCUAGGGAGUUGCUGCGCAACCCCCCAAGUUCCACGGCCUCACCGGGGGCCAUGAGGCAGUGGCGUGAAGAUGUAGAUCCACUCCUCGGCAUGGCACAUUAUGGUUCGGCCAGGCCCAGGCCUCGGUCAUUCCGGCGUCAGCGUGAGGUGUCGGCGUCUAUGCACUCACCCUCAGUGAGGGGUACACGGACUGACGACCUACGGGUAGAGCUCAACCACAGGUGUGUAGGCGAGGACGCCCGAAUCUCUCUGGAGAGGCAUGACGACCUACGAGCAGAGCUCAACCGUAGGCGUGCGGGUGAGGAUGCUUGGGUCUCUCUGGAGAGGGCGCAUGAGCACCGACAAAACUUCAAGGGUCACAACCUCGACCAGGACUUCGCUCCAGUUUCACCACAAACUCCAAGGGAUGCCCGAAUCCAUGCGGGUGUCCCAUUUGUCGGCGUGGGCUACGCUGCACUAGCGGAUCAUCUCCGCGUGGCGACUUGGCCACCCAAGUUCCGGCACACCUGCCGGAGAAGUACGACGGGACAUCGAAUUCGUUGGAAUUCCUGCAGGUCGACGUCACCGCUAUUACGGCAGCUGGUGGAAACACUGCUGUGAUGGCAAGCUACUUCCAUGUAGCCUUGACCGGGUCGGCCCGGACCUGGCUCAUGAACCUUACCCUGGGAUCAAUCUACUCCUGGGAAGAGCUCUGUGCACGGUUCACAGCGAACUUCGCCAGUGCUUAUCAGCAGCAUGGCGUGGAGGCUCAUCUCCAUGGAGUGAGGUAAGAACCCGGAGAGACUCUCCGGGCUUUCAUCUCCUGUUUCACCAAGGUACGGGGGACUACACCUCGCAUCUCCGAUGCCUCCAUUAUCACUACUUUCCGACAGGGGGUGCAUGAUAAGAAGAUGUUGGAGAAAUUGGCGACGCAUGACGUGGAAACCAUCACGUCGCUCUUCACUCUGGCCGACAAAUGUGCCAGAGCUGCUGAGGGACGUGCAUGACACUCAGCACCGCAGACCAGAGUUACCCAGACGGGUGGCUCAGGUGCCACCACCCAGGGAGGUGGCAAGAAGAAGAAGAAGAACCGCGGUCACGAUAGGCCGCAAUCUGGUGCUUCGGUCGCCGCAGCUGCGACUGGGGGCCGGGAUGAGCGCGGCAAGUGCCACCGGCAACAGGGAAGUGACAGUGGGUCGUGUCCUGUCCACCCCAACAGUCGCCGUAGCGCCUCAGAAUGCCGAGAGAUCCUGAAGCUCACGAAGCGCAUCAGCGAGCGGUGCGAGCAGGCCUCCAGGGAUGGCUCGCCGCCUCGCCGUCGGCCUGGCAAAGAGAAGGUCGAUGAAGGCGAUCUAGUCGCAGGAGAAAGGGACCUCGGGUAUCAGACCCCCGAGCAGGUUCUCAACGACAUCGUCACUGGAGACUCCGACUCUGGUGAUGACGACGACCGCCGCAAGUGUGACGGAACCUCCCAAGUCAUUAGGCCCACCUACAGUUGUCCUUGUCCAAUGGAGCUCAGACAACCCUGCAGGUGCACCUGAUUCCUUGACAUGUUCGGUAUCUGAAUUCCUUACCUUCCCAAGAGCGUUUUAUCCGUCACGCAGACAUUACAAUUCAUCAGAGAUACGGAAAUGCGGAAGCAAUUACAAUAACUUACUUUUAUUGAAAAGUAAGACAAAGUUAAAUAUUUACAGACCAGAAUAUAAUAUAUGAGUGCUGAGUAUUAUUAUUACAAACCAUGGGAGGCAAAAACCCCUCCCGAAUAAGAAGUAAAAAGUUUUUAAUGGAGGUUCUUCCCUCCCGCAACUUUAGUCUUGGUUCUCUUCUUUGGCUACCACCUUUGAACAAAAGCAACAAAGUUUGUCGCUUCUUCACCUAAAACAACAUGGGACAAAGCCCUGAGUACGAAGUGUACUUUCGCAAGACUUACCCAACAAAGUAAAAAGACUCUCAAGGAUAUGCUGGCUUUAAGGGAGUCAAGGUAAGGCUUAUCAAUAAUCAAUUACUCUGUUUGCAGAAAUGCUUACUAAAAGUGGAUCCUUAAAAAUCCAAUUUUAAUUGUCAGAUUAAGUAAGAUUACCUGCAUCUAGAGUUCUCUCUACCCUAGUUCAAUCACUUGACCUGCACUAGCCAAUUUCUUAACAACCCUUCAUCUUUACUGGAUUUCGACGUAUAGGUCAGUGACCAAGUCUUCAUGUCCGCGAAGUUACGGCGAUCCGAAUCGAUUAUACUCAGCUGAGGAUCUCCAAUCACACGACAUAUGUAGCACUUAACCCUUGCGUAUGUCAACUCGCCACCGGGGUUCUUAAGACCAGAUUAGGUUCACGCCAACCGAGAGCACAGAUACACCACCGUCCAGCCUCUUGCCAUGGAGAGUACACGCUACUCUCGCCAUCUCUCCACGCCCAUUGUGUGUUAUCUUAUUCUGGUAUUAGUCUGCCCGAGGCAAAGCUUACCCAUGACGAGGCAUGUGACCAGUUAAAGGGUCCUCGGUCAGUAGGCCUACAUCGAGAAGGUCCUUAAUCGACUCAGAGGGAGACACUACACCGAGACUCUCUUCUCGUGCAAGUCACCCACCCGGUCUCAGCUUAAUCAUUUCAAACCCAAAGUUUGGUACCUGUUAGAGGUACAUCUUUUUCGAUGUUGAACCCAUCAUGGCCAUGAUGGAUCCACCAUCAAAUUUUAUUGUCGAAAACAUCCCACCCACUUUGCAACAUCAUCUUUUGUGAAAACAAAACAUUUUGUUUUGCUAGAGCAAGGCUAAGCAUAAGAAAAACCUUUUGUAAAACAGGGAUUUAAGGAAGGUAAUCAUAUUCAAGGAAGGAAAUGCAGGAAUUGGUUUAGCACAUAACUCCUAUCACCUAAUACAUCAAGCAAGUGAGAAAGAUUUUAAAAGGAACAAGGAGGUGGCAAAUGCACCGGGGCUUGCCUUGUGUUACUGGUGAAUCAGGCUCGGUUCCGCAGAUAUCAAAAUAGAAACAGAUGCCUACUUGAUGUUCCUCAGGUGGUGGUGGUGAUGAAGUCCUUGUCUCUUCGACUUCUACUUCCUCUUCGUUUUCUAAAUAUAGCCAAGUAUAAUAAUGAAUGCUCAUGUAGUGUUCAUGAAGAUGCAAAGACAAUAAAAGUUUAUAUCUAAGGUCUUGAAUACAACUUUCCUUAACGGAUCUCCGAGAACUUAGGGUUUCCGGAGUCAAUAGUGAAGUUCAAAGGGCAUGGGGGUAGGGUUUUGGGUUCUAAGCAACAAACAUGGUCCAAAUCAUAUCAAACUCUACCCAAGGCUUCUAAAUAUUAUUUAGAGAUUACCCUAAAAAUUUAGUGAAUUUUGGAUUUAUUAUUUAUUCUCUAAAAAUCCAGAAGCAUGGUUUUUGGCUGUUUUGAAAACUCUAUAAUUCCCUAUUUGGACUAAAAAUCAUGAAACUAUUUUUAUUAUGUUCUAUAGGAAAUUAGAAGCCUAACAAAAUUGGUCUUGCAUUUUUAGCAUUUUCUACAAUUUUCUAGAAUUUCUUUAGCUCUGUUAGAAAAAGAAAAAGAAAAUGUAUGAACAGUAUUGGACCUAAACCGGCCCAAGUCAGCCCACGACAGAAGGAAAGCUCCCGCGCGCGUGCCCGCGCUGGUAGAUUUGCACAGAGGCCCCCGCUGUCUUGAAUAAUCUGUUAGGAACCCACAACCACUAUUCACCCUCUCUCUAACAAUUACACAGAGGUCCCCUGACCUUUGUUUCUUCUCCAAAUAGAACCCUGGCCACGGCGCGCUCGCCGUCGAUCACCCCGCGACUUGUACUGGCCAUGGCCGGUGGCAGCUAUCCCAAUUAGUUACAGGGUGAGCAUUUCCGACCCCAGGUGACUCAAGAACAUCCUUCAAUUUUAGUUUGCACACUAGAGAAGGUCCUACCCACGCGCAUGGUGGAAACCGUGACGUCGAGCCCGUGUUCUCAUUCACUCACGCCCAAAUUGGUCAAAUGGCUGCUACGAUGAGCUUCACGGGUAUACAGAGCUGCGAAAACAACACUCGAGAGAUGCAGAGCCUUACCAGAGUGGUCCGGCCAUGGAGCGCGGAGACUUGUGCUCGCUAGUGACAGAGAAAGGGGAAAAUGGCGUCACGACGGCUCUGGGUGGAAUUGGGAGGUGGGAUUGGGGCUACACGGUCGUAAGGAACUAUAGUUUCACCGUGCACACUUAAUUUGGGAAGAGGUGGCAGAGGCAGUGCGAAUUUUGGGCUGCAAUCAAACUCACUGGUGGAGAUGUGAACACCUCGCCGUGGACCAUGGUGCUAUUUAUAGCCACGGCGGUCCAGCUAACGAUCAGCGACCGUGGAAGGCUUUGUUCACGCAUGGCAACCACGUAUAGAAGAGGCACAGUAAGGGAAAUCGAGGCAUGGGUGACACCGCGGCAGAAAUGACCGAGCCACAGCGAUCGCCGGUGGGAUAUCUCCGGCCACGCACGACUGAGCUCACGGGAUGGUGCCACGUCCAAAGUUUACUUCUCCGCGAUCAAAUCCCCACCGAUUCAUCCGAGCUCAUCCGAUUCAACAGUGCACAGAUGUUCUGAACCGACCCCCUUCCAUCCACUCAAUCUCUUGAUUCUUGUUAAGGACAGAGCAAACUUCAUUAAUAAAGUUUGUUCACCUAUCAACCGUCUUCAAACUUACUAUAGGAUAUUUGGGUCAAAAUCGAGUGAAUCCAAAGAUAUGGCGCGUCCAAAUUGGCUCCAUUCCACUGUGACCAUUUCUGCUUUCAAAUUCAGUUUCAGUUAUUCAACACCAUUCUGAUAGAGUAACUUUGGGCUGCCGUUUCUUUAAUUUUUAUAUAACAACUAAAGAGGAUGUCUGUAUCAAAGUUAUUCUCCUAUAAUAGAUCUAGGCUUUUGAUGUGUUGACCCUAGGCAAAUUCUCAAUAAUUUGGAAAAUAUAGGGUCCCAAAGUUGAGCCAAAUCUCUGAAAUUCGGACUUAGACAUUUGAGUAUAAGUGUGGCUUUUUGCAAAUAAGUCCAAAACUUAGGGUUUAAGUUGCAAAUCCACAUUCUUGUGAACCAUAUGACUUAAGGUGCCUUACUUUCAUGGUUUUUGCACUUUAGUCCAAAAGUGCACUAAUUUUGCACUUAUCCCCCUAGGGUUUUAGUCCAGGGUUUUCCAGGGUUUCUUUUAGGGUUUCUGAUACUUCUAGGGUUUGGAUAUCCCUUAACUUCUUUAAUGGUGGUAAUUUAUGAUCAUUGUUGGGGACUUGUUCUCAAAUACUAUGAAUUAAGAACAAGGCAACACAAGAUAUUAAAUAUUAAUGCCCUUCGUCCUUCGAAGCAUUAUUCCCCUUAGGAUAUAAUGAUCUUCAGACGAAGGUCAUGAAGGACAUACCUUCAUCAUUGUAGUUUAUAUUAUUAAAAGAAGAAGCUUAUGAAAUAUAAGAGACAACAUAAACAAUCAUAUAACAUUGCUAAUUCAUUCUUAUUAUAUUAUCAUGGAAAGACAGAAACAAUAUUGAACUACAAAAGUACCUUCGGCUUGACAGAAGGCAAAAAGUACAAGCAUGACGCAAAAGCAAGUACCAGUCAACGUGAACAGUAUGGAGGUAUUGUUCAUCUAUUUAUACGCACGGGACACAGCCCGUGUAAACUUACAUCCAGACCCUUUACAUUUGCUAAUAACUUUAAGGUAAUCCACCAAGGUCUAAAUAUCCUUUUCCCUUUUAAAUCGGUUCCCUUUUAUGUCGUCAUGCCGAAGCUCCCUUGCACGUAGCUUCAGCGCUGCGUCAACCUUCGUAUUAUUCGUGCCUUUCACACUGUGUGAUUCUGGUCCGAGACCGAAGGCACCUCUUCACAUAUUACACUCGGAAAACAUUGUUAAAUUAUAUUUUUGAGGACCUUCGGAAGACGAAGGCCCCCAACAAGCAUGAUUAUCAAGUUUUGAAGUUUUCUCUUGUUUAGGCCUUAGUUACCCCUUUAAGCCCAAUCUAGGGUUAAACACUGUACCCUAGGGUUUCACUUAUGAAAUGCCACACCAAUACAACUUGUUUGAACUUUUGCCUAGUGAAUGCAUUCUAUGUGUGACAAACACAUGAUAUGCCAAUGCUUAUGAUGUUAUGCUCAAAUUUUAGUAACAGUAACACCAAGGGUGUUACAUCCUUCCCACCAUAAAAGAAUAUCGUCCCGAGAUUAAAAGUCCUAGGGAAAGUAAUGGAAAAGGAAACACGGCACAUCUUUAUUUCCUUAUCUUUGGUACAAGGUAGGGGUGGUAUGGGCUAAUCCCUUUAUUACAACAAUUGUAUACACUUUACAAAUUACAUGAGGCUAAAAAGCCUGGGAAAUUCUUUUCUAAAAAGUUCUGAGUUUCCCAUGUAGCCUCAUCUUCUGAAUGCUAGUUCCACUGUAUCUUGUAAAACUUGAGAGUUUUCCUUCGAGUAAUUCUGUCCUUUUGAUCCAAGACUCAAAUAGGGUGCUCUGAAUAUGUCAAGUCUGGUUCUAAGGCAAUAUCCGUUACUUCAAUGGUUCGAUCGGGAACCCGAAGACACUUCUUCAAUUGAGACACGUGGAACACAUUAUGUACUGCAGACAAGGUUUCGGGUAACUGGAGUCGAUAUGCCACUGGUCCAUAUCUUUCAAGGAUAGGAAAAGGACCAAUGUAUCGAGGUGCAAGCUUCCCCUUUACCCUGAAACGUAAUACCCCCUUCAUUGGUGAAACUUUCAGGUAGACAUAAUCUCCAACUAGAAAGUACAAGGGUUGUCAUCGCUUGUCUGCAUAACUCUUCUGACGAGCUUGGGCUUUCUUCAAAUUAUGAAUUAUUCGUUGAACUUUCUCUUCUGUCUCCUUUACCAUAUCAGGCCUGAAGAAAUUUCUUUCACCUGGUUCAGACCAGUUUAAUGGAGUAUGACACCGUCGUCCAUAUAAAGCUUUGAAGGGUGCCAUCUUAAUGCUUUCUUGAUAGCUAUUAUUAUAUGAGAACUCCGCUAAUGGUAAACAAUCAUCCCAUUUCUGUGGGAAUUCCAAAACACAUUCUCGCAACAUAUCUUCAAGUAUCUAAUUUACCCUCUCGGUCUGCCCACUUGUUUGAGGAUGAUAGGCCGAACUAUGGAGCAAUUUAGUACCUAAGGAUUUGUGAAGUGCUUCCCAAAACUUGGCUACAAAUUGAGGUCCAUGAUCCGACACUAUAGUCUUUGGAACUCCGUGCAGACUAAGAAUACAAGCAAUGUACAAUUGGGCAUAGACAGUAACCGGGUGAUCUGUCUUGACUGGCAGAAAAUGAGCAAUUUUCGUAAGCCGAUCAACUAUAACCCAAAUAGAAUCAUACCCUUUUGCUGUCCUGGGCAAUCCCACAAUAAAGUCCAUACUUAUAUCCUCCCAUUUCCAUGUUGGUAUAGGUAGAGAUUGUAUUGGACCAGUAGCUUUCAUAUGUAUGGCUUUGACACGUCUACAAGUGUCACAUCUUGCCACAUACCGUGCGAUUUCAAUCUUCAUCUUUGUCCACCAAUAAUGUUGUUUCAGAUCAUGAUACAUCUUAGUGCUUUCAGGGUGAAUAGAAUAGCGACUAAGAUGUGCUUCAUCCAAAAUUUGCUGGCAGAUCUCCUCCUUCUUAGGCACAACUAUGCGGUUAUUAAACCAUACAACACCUUGAUCAUCUUUUCUGAAGCAGUUGGCUUUACCAGCUUCUACUUCUCAUGAAUGUGCUUCAUUCCCUCAUCAUUUCUUUGUGCAUCGAUUAUUCUUUGCAGGAUGACUGACUCAAGCUUCAAGUGAUUUGAAGUUCCAUGCUGAAUCAUUCCCAGGUUCAACUUCUCCAUUUCUUGGCAUAAAGUAAUGUCAGAAGUCUUCAUGGUAAGACAAUGACAGAAAGCCUUAUGACUUAACGCAUCUGCCACUACAUUAGCUUUGCCUGGGUGAUAGUGAAUCUCUAAUUCAUAAUUCUUUAUCAGCUCGAGCCAUCUCUUUUGUCUCAUAUUAAGCUCUGACUGGGUAAAGAUGUACUUCAAACUUUUGUGGUCUGUAUAAAUGUGACAGACAUUCCCCAGCAGAUAAUGACGCCAUAUUUUUAGGGCAUGAACCACCGCAGCUAACUCUAGGUCAUGAGUUGGAUAAUGUUCCUCAUGCCGGCGCAACUCCCUUGAAGCAUAAGCUAUUACUCGGCCCUCUUGCAUUAUUACACAGCCGAGACCACUGCCUGAUGCGUCACAAUACACAUCAAAGGGAUUUUCAAUGUCCGGUUGAGCCAAUACCGGAGCAGUGGUCAAUAAUACUUUUAGCUGCUCAAAAGCUUCAUUACAUUUUGAAGACCAAUUGAAUUUGGUAUCAUUCUUCAAUAAACUUGUGAUUGGUUUCACAAGCUUGGAAAAAUCUGGAAUGAAUCAGCGGUAAUAACCAGCCAGUCCAAGGAAACUUUGGACUUGAUGCACAUUGGUUGGGGGUUUCCACUCCAAAAUAUCCUUGACUUUGCUGGGAUCCACCGCAAUCCCCUUGGCAAAUAAUACAUGUCCCAGAAAUUGAAUCUCCUCCAGCCAGAAUGCGCACUUACUGAACUUAGCAUAUAAUUAGUGUUCCCUUAAGCGCGUUAAUAUGAUCCGCAAGUGCUGAGCAUGCUCCUCUUCGUUCUUGGAGUAUAUUAAGAUAUCGUCAAUGAAUACCACCACAAAUUUGUCCAACUCGGGCAUAAAUACCGAGCUCAUCAGAUAUGUGAAGUGGGCAGGAGCAUUUGUCAGUCCGAAAGACAUAACCAGAUAUUCAAAUAACCCAUACCGCGUGGUGAAUGCGGUCUUUGGUAUAUCUUCGGGUCGGAUACAGAUCUGAUGAUCACCCGACCUGAGGUCAAUCUUGGAGAAUACCCGAGCUCCGGUAAGUUGAUCAAACAGAAUGUCAAUCCGGGGAAGAGUGUACUUAUUCUUGAUGGUGACCUCAUUAAGGGGUCUAUAAUCCACGCACAUCCGUAGUGUUUGGUCCUUCUUGACAAAGAUGGCUAGACAACCCCAAGGUGAUGAACUUGGUCGGAUAAAUCCUUUUUCAAGUAGAUCUUGUAAUUGGGUCUUGAGUUCUGCCAGUUCAUUUGGAGGCAUUCGGUACGACCUUCUAGAAAUAGGAGCCAUACCGGGGUUCAACUCAAUCACAAAUUAUACAUCUCUUUCUGGAGGCAGUCCAUGCAGAUCUUCCGGAAAGACUUCUGGAAACUCACAUACUACCGGAAUAUCUUGGAUCUCCGGUAUGAUGGCUUCAUAUACUCUUCCAGUUGGUUUAGCUGGAAUAACUACGGGGAUAGACAAAAGAAUCUCUUCUUGGCCAUAACUCAACCUGAUGGUUCUCAGAUCAGUGUUGAGGAUUGCUUUAUGCUGGGCUAACCAAUUUAUGCCCAAAAUUACAUCUAUGUCUUGGCCUUUUAGAACAACCAUGUUUGUUGGAAUGUCCCGUUCAGCCAAUGUUACGGGCACUUGGUAAGCCACUUCUUUAGUAAAUAUUUGUCCCCCAGACGAAUGAAUUUUAAACCCUUCCCUUGAUUCAUUAUAUGAAAUGCAAUAUUUUCUCCACAAACUUCUUACUUAUGAAAGUAUGCGAAGCACCAGAAUCAAAGAGAAUAACUGCAGGGUGAUUGGCCAUGAGAAACGUACCCAUCAUAACCGGUUCGCCUUCCAGUGUUGUGGCCACUUGAGUAUAAUAAAUCUGUCCUGUUUUCCUCAUAUUUCUGCCUGCGGUAUUGUUUGCGGCAUUUUUCUUGGCUUGAGCGAAAUUCCUAGAACUCUGCUGAUUAUUUGAUCGAUUCUGCUUUGGAUAUGGACAGUCCUUGAUCAAAUGUCCGGACUUUCCACAAUUGAAGCAGCUUGUUGAAGAGCUUGGGAGAGCUGGGAAACGAGUGCCAGGGGCACCCGGCUGAUUUGUAGUGGUAGGGGCAGCGGUAGGACGGAUAAAAACCAGUUGCUUGAAAGGGAAGGAGGGUGGGCACGAUGAAGAAUGACUCUGAUUAAAAGGUCGGAUUACCAACCUUUGUCUUUUCUCAGACCCCUGAUUGGGCCUGUCGCCUCCAUUGCCCUUUGAUUUUCCGGAGCCUGCAUAUUUUGCUUCAACUGCCAGCGCCGUGUUGACAGCCCUUCCAUAAGAAAGAUCAAUGCAGGUGGCCAUCUUUCGUUGCAUUCGAUCAUUCAGGCCUCUCAUGAAGCAAUUCCUCUUCUUUAGAUCUGUGUUGACUUGAUCGAUUGUGUAUUGGGACAAGUGGUUGAAUUUAUUAAGAUACUGAGUGACAGUAUCCCCACCCUGCUUGAGCUUCAUAAACUCCUCCUGCUUCAUAUGGAGGACCCCUUCAGGUAUAUAGUGCUCCCUGAAAGCCAAUUUGAACUCAUCCCAUGUAAUUUGAUAGUCAGCAGGCUGAACGGCAACAUAAUUCCACCACCAUGUACUGGCAGGGCCUCGCAAUUGUUGUGUAGCAAACAAGGGAUUUUGAGUCUCCGUACACCGGAGAAGCCCGAACUUCUGUUCAAUAACGCGGAUCCACUCAUCCGCUUCCAGAGGAUCUUCCACCUUGACAAACAAUGGGGGACUUUUCUCUGAGAAUUCCGGAUAUGACGUUUCGUGGGGUCCUUGCAGGUACGCUCGCCUGCCUUGUUGCUGCAUUUGUUGCCCCACCAUUUCCCGCAGAAAGCGGGUGUUGUCAGCUGUGGCAUUAACCAAGGCAGCGAUGGCCUCAGCUAAUGUUGGAGGUACUGGAGGUGGAUUCGGGGUUGCUUCCCUCCCACGGGAGGUUCCUACCCCAUCCUGUGCGCGAGUCUUAGACGACAUCUAAGGCAAAGAACAUUUAAAGAAAUAUGAUAUGCCAGAACAAACCAUCCAUUUCACAUUACUUAAAAGGGUAAUGUUACAGACUCAAAUUUACAACAGGAUUACAGUACCUAUUACACAUUACUACUACUUCUAUACUACACUACUCUAGCUUCUUGUCGCUUCUGGUAGCCUCGCUGUCAGGUGUAGGAGACCACUGGUCGACCAAAUUCAUGGAAGGAGGGGGCCUGAAAAGGUCUAGUUCUCCUCCAAGGGCUUCACCCGCUGCUCCAGAUGGUGCAGCUCCCAUCCCGACAGGAUCUGCAGGGACGUUAGGGUGCAGUUGUGAAUACAAUACAUGAACUUCUUCAUGUAGUGUAUUACAAUAAACCUGCAAGUUAUCCACGGCUGAGCUUAGCUCUUCCACGCGGGCACGAGCUCUAGCUUCCUUUUCCCAAGCUAGUGAACGAGAGUUCACAGCCCAGUCGAGUGCUAGAUCCCGUUUCGCAAGUUGGUCUUGCAGGUGGCGGAUGUCUGUUCUCAAUUCAUUUAUUCUUUCACCAUCCACGACCCAUAUAUCGUUCCUGUGACGGAGUUCUGAUCGAAGCUGGUCAACUUGUGCUUCCAGAUCCCCGAUUGGAUCGUUACUACCACUGCUACUGUCUUCAUGUCGCGGGUCAAGUUGAUGACGGGGUACGCCAAACGGCCCGGUAGACUUGCACGCGGUCUUUCUAGUGCGCGGCGGCAUAUCUCCAUGAGGGGAAAUCUUAUUAGCAUAGUUUUUAACAUGAUGCAUGUGUAAUUACAGAAUCAACCUUAGUUGAUUCACACCUUCUAUACAUUGCACUCUACUAUCUGGUCUUUAAUAUAAGUAUCUCAGAAGGGAAUUGGAUAAGAAGAAAAGAAAUUUUCUAGAUAAGUCUUUGAAAAUUAUUUUUGAAAAUGUCUCAUAACAUCUGCAGAGAUGGGCUUCGCUCCGAUACCAGCUGUGACGGAACCUCCCAAGUCAUUAGGCCCACCUACAGUUUCCUUGUCCAACGGACCUCAGAUAACCCUGCAGGUGCACCUGAUUACUUGACAAGUUCGGUAUCUAAAUUCCUUACCUUCCCAAGAGUGUUUUACCCGUCACGCAGACAUUACAAUUCAUUGGAGAUACGGAAAUGCGGAAGCAGUUACAAUAACUUACUUUUAUUGAAAAGUAAGACAGAGUUAAAUAUUUACAGACCAGAAUAUAAUAUAUGAGUGCUGAGUAUUAUUAUUACAAACCAUGGGAGGCAAAAACCCCUCCCGAAUAAGCAGUAAAUAGUUUUUAACGGAGGGCCUUCCCUCCCGCAGCUUUAGUCUUGGUUCUCUUCUUUGGGUACCACCUUUAAACAGAAGCAACAAAAGUUUGUCGCUUCUUCACCUAAAACAACAUGGGACAAAGCCCUAAGUAUGAAGUGUACUUUCGCAAGACUUACCCGACAAAGUAAAAAGACUCUCAAGGUUAUGCUGGCUUUAAGGGAGUCAAGGUAAGGCUUAUCAAUAAUCAAUGACUCUGUUUGCAGAAAUGCUUACUAAAAGUGGAUCCUUAAAAAUCCAAUUUUAAUUGUCAGAUUAAGUAAGAUUACAUGCAUCUAGAGUUUUCUCUACCCUAGUUCAAUCACUUGACCUGCACUAGCCAAUUUCUUAACAACCCUUCAUCUUUAUUGGAUUUCUACGUAUAGGUCAGUGACCAAGUCUUCAUGUCCGUGAAGUUACGGCGGUCUGAAUCGAUUAUACUCAGCUGAGGAUCUCCAAUCACACGACAUAUGUAGCACUUAACCCUUGCAUUUGUCAACUCACCACCGGGGUUCUUAAGACUAGAUCAGGUUCAUGCCAACCGAGAGCACAGAUACACCACCAUCCAGCCUCUUGCCACGGAGGGUACACGCUACUCUCGCCAUCUCUCCACGCCCAUUGUGUGUUAUCUUAUUCUGGUAUUAGUCUGCCCGAGGCAAAGCUUACCCAUGACAAGGCAUGUGACCAGUUAAAGGGUCCUCGGUCAGCAGGCCUACAUCGAGAUGGUCCUUAAUCGACUCAGACGGAGACACUACACCGAGACUCUCUUCUCGUGCAAGCCACCCGCUCGGUCUCAGCUUAAUCAUUUCAAACCCAAAGUUUGGUACUUGUCAGAGGAACACCUUUUUUGAUGUCGAACCCAUCAUGGCCAUGAUGGAUCUGUAACACCCCAGGUGUUACUUAGGGUUUUCACUCAAGACUACACAAGUAAGCCCAUCAUCACAUGUGACUUAAGUUGGGAAAAGUACACCAAAUUUGGAGCUCAAGAUCCUAAGUAAGUGCAACCCAUCCUAGAAGUCAUACCUUGGCUUGUCAUGCACAUAUAAUGGAGAGAAUUGCCCAAACCCUAAUUCAAACCCCUUUGGACAAGUGGAGCACUAGAAGUAAGUAUGAUCAAAAGGCUAUGAAAACCACAUGAUCAUGACUUGGGCCAAUUAUAAAAGAUGUAGUACACUUAAAACCCUACAAAUGAUAGUAAGAAAGUGACCUCAAAAAGAUUUUAGAGAAACCCCAAAAGGUUCACCAAAGGGUUGAGCAUAAAAGGAAAAUCAGAAUUCUUCUAAGUCCAAAACCACCCCUUUUCCAACGAUCAAACAUGUUCACCCUCAUUCAAACUUCAAAACCACUUGGCCCAAUUGACAAAGUGGCGCCAAAAUACCCCUAGAACACCCUGGAAAAGUUUGAACCCAACCCUAAGUCGUUUGACACGACUUGGCAAAAGAUUUGUCUCGGUUUGGACAGCUAGGACAAAGACAACUUCCCACCCUCAUAUCUCUCUAACCCGACCACAUCUCCCCUUGGAACUCACAUGAACUAGGUAGCCCUAGGUGCAGGGAAGAGAUCUCUCAUAGGUCUUAGGGCAAGAUUCGCACGUUUUGGCCGCUCAGUGGAGGGUAGAACCAGAACAGAAGCAAAGAUCCACGUGUUCGUCGCGCUCUGAGCUCGCCAGAGCACGCCCAACGCCCGCCCCCACGUGCCCCGCGUCGCGCCAAAGCCGAGCCAGCGCCGUUGCCCACGCCCGCGCCUAUAAAGCCCUCAGGGACUUCGACUGUACUCCUCCGCACGCGCUCGACCUCACCAGAGCACCAGAUCACCGGCAUUGCCCCGCGCACGGCGUGCCCUCGGCCACCCAAUCACCCACCACCGUAGACCGGCCACCAGAGCCUCUCCCAGCCGCGUCCGACCCUCAGAGUAGACCGUGCAUGCCUCGGUGAAGCUCCCCGAGCAAGGAAUCGAACUUUGCCUUGCCGGAGAAGCCAGUCCACGAUUGCCGGACUUCACCCGACCGCCGGUGAACGUAGACCGAGCUCCACGGUGAGUUAUUUUUCAAUUCCUUGCACGUGUCGACUCAUCAACACCCUGUGAAGCUUCCCGUGCAAUUGGAUUGACUGUAAUCGCCGUGGUUAGGCCGGAACACUCGCCGCCGACGAGUUCACCCGCCUACGCACGUGGACCGGCCGAAUCCGACCACCACCGCCGUCGAGCCGUACCUCGCUGUGACCCCUAGAACCUCCCAGAGCCAACCCCGCCCCUCGCCGGACCUCUCUCGCCGCCGGUAAGCCGCGCCACCCUUUUUCCUUCCGCGGUUACUGUUUUCAUAAGGGGAGGGACCUCGGGGGAGAAGAAGAAAAGGCCAGGGGGUUUUGUGCAUUGUCAGCGACUCAAGGGAAUAGUGGCGCAGGGGUAUAACUGUAGGGAUUAGUUUAGAAAGAACCCAGGGUCUUCGAUGCAAAGUGGAUUUCCAGAAAACCUUUUUAAUAUUCUGAUUUAAAUGAAACCAGAACUUGAGAAAUUCAUAAUUUCAGUUUGAUUCAUCCAAAUCAAGUCAAACCAAUUUUGCUAGAUCCUAAAUAAUAUAAACUACUUAGGAAAAAUAUAAAACCCCUAAGUGUUGCAAAAAACUUUAAAGUUAUGAUUUAAUUGAUUAUCUAGUCAAAACCUAAAGAAAAUAAGGAAAAUAGCUACACUAUUAGACUGGGGUUAAUAAAAUUCAGAGAAGUACUUAAUCACUUCCUAACCUGUUUAAAAAUAAUAAACUCUUCUGUACACCAAAUUAAGGUAGAGUUUGCCAUUUAAAUCAUUUUUAGCCUAAAGUUAGAGAAAAUAUAAAAUGUAGUUUAAAAUAAGAACCAGGGAGCACCCACAUUUUUGUUGGCUCCCUUAUUCAGUGUAGUUCACUAGAAAAAAUUAAUAUACCUUUGUUUGGUACAAAAAAAGGAGAUACCUUUUAAUUUAGAAAAACAAGGAAAAUUUAGACAAAUCCUAGAAAAAUAACCCUGAGGAGAAAACACCCCAAACCUUGGGAUAACUAAAGUUUUGUUAUUGUAAACAUAGAAAAAUUAUGAGUUCUAUUGUUUGACAUUUUUCAAAUAACAAGUUAGUUAUACGUAUCUUUUUAGCAUUAAACUUUAGAAAAUCAUAACUAAAUAACCACUAAGUAACCUUCUGUGUUUUUUUGGCACAGAAGCAUGCUAUUACCUAUAGAUACCAGCAAAAAUGACUCUUAGUACAGAACCCACCCCUUGUUAAGAGUUGUAGUGCAAAGUGACCCCUUUGCCCCAACUUUUGUUAUUUUUGUCCAGGGCAUAUUCUAUUUAUUCUGGACCUCAAAUUUAUAGGACAGACUACAGUGACAAAUAGUGACCUACUGUAAUUUUUACAGAAUUUUUGGAAAAAGUUAAAUCACUGUUGUAGUUCAAACCCACACUAAAAUUCAUAAAUAGAAAAUGAAAGGGGGAAUUAAUAGUGGAGACCAAUGUUACCCUAACCAAACCAGCAAAACCCCUUGAGUGCCUACUAAAGCAUUUAAGAGGCAAUCCAAGUCUUAAUCCAUUAUGCUUAGGCAAAAUCUCAAACCUAAAUUGGUAAGCAUAAACCACUAAGAGCCUCUUAUAACCAGGAAACCCUAAGUUAUUCACUAACUUAGUUUUCUUCACUUAGCAUGAUGAUUUCUAAAUUCUGCAUAAUCAUAGCAUACAUGUUUCUUACUCAUUGCAUUCGAUAUAUUGCAACCUAGCUGACGGAGAAUACAUCCUCGUGCCGGAGCAAGGAGUUGCUCAGGAGGUAGCCCCGGAUCCAGCACCAGAGCCUGCCCCGGAGGAUCUGCCUGCCCCAGCUUUGGAAGGCAAACACCGGUUUUAUGCAUAACAUAUUUAUUAUGCUAUUUUACUACACUUAAUGUUUGUAGGCUUGUACUGUGCACUUAAGUGUAGUAGUUGACUGAAACCUUAGUUGCAUGAACUCAGGAUACCUUUUGAGAUGGAUACUAGUAUGCUAGGUCGAGUAGCUACUUUAUUAAUUAGGGAUCUCGGUAGAAGUCGAGUGAUUUUUCUAGCACUCGCGCGAGGUCAGAAAAUUGGUUGUAUCCAUUUUUGAUAUCGUAAUGAUGGUGGUCAGUGGACAACGGUCCAUGGGGAUGCGUUGUCUACGAGACGGAAAUUGGAAUAAGGAUUAAGGUGUGGUACCGUGUGUCAAGCGUUUGAAUGUACUAAGCACGUGCCGAGAAAUAUGGUAAAUCGGUAAGCCUAGUACCUGAUUGAACCUGCCAGCAGACAUAUCCCCUCACGCGACCUGAGACAUGGUCUCCCAUUCCGGUUAUGGUGGGUACAUGUGCGGUCACUGCACGACGGCAGUCGGGGUCAGUGAGGCAUUGUACGCCAAGGUGGUGAGCCCUGAUCUGUUGCCAGGGAAUCGAUGGGGACGGUUGAUGUGUGUGGGGACGGAGUGCCUCACCAUGUCGUGUGUUUAUGUUUACCUUGCAAGGAUAAAAACUCGAUUUGAAUCGUCUGCUUCUCGCAGCUAAUGAGAAUGCUUGAUCCAUGCUGCUACAUUGAGUAACAAGAGGAAAUGUGAUGACUUGGCAAAAGUUGUUGAUUGCUAAAUGUUUGAUACCAUGUAUGAUUAGAUAGGUAUACAUUUAGUCUUAAGAGAGUCGCACUAAAACUUGACAAAGCUAAAACUUGAUUUAUAGACUUAGCUAGUGCUUUUGGCAACCAAACCCCUCAGCCAAACAACUGCAUGUCUAGAGGUAGAGGAGUAGACUCCUCACCCUGGGUAAGUCUAGCUGAGUAUUAGUAUACUCAGCCUUGCUUGUGGCAUAAUUUUACAGGUUCUCUGGAGGACAUGGUUGCUGGAGUGACUUGGCCGUCCAUCUUGCCACCGGGUUGGACAGUCGAGUGGGACCCUACCUCGGCUGAGGAGGAGCAUGAGGAGUGAUGGGACAGGCUUCCCCAUCUCUCUGUUUAUUUAUCGUUAGUUUUAUUCCGAUGCAUUCCGAACAAUGAUGACUACUUUUGCCAAAACUCCGAUGAUGAUGUAAUAAAUUUAAUACUCUUUAAUGUGUGGAUUUAUGCUUUAUUGUAUUUGCUCUGUGCCUCACCAUCGAGUGAGUACGUGGUACUUGAUCCUGUUAGUGGCCUCGUCGGACUAGAUCCGAGGGACUGACGUGUUAUUCCCAUUUAAGUGUGGUCUAGCCUCUAAGGCAGGACUUAGGCACUUAAGUUGGAAUAAUUUGGGCGGUUCCGCCACAGCUGGUAUCGUAGCUCGUACCACCACAAAGGAAUCAAUAAACUAUAAAUACCAUCCUUUUUCAAAAUAAAACUUGGUAGAAACAAAUGUUGGAUAGAUCGUAGGACGAUCAGGAUAGACCUAGGACGUGGAGCCUUAGGAUGAUAGAGGGGUAGCUAGGUGGCUAAUUGAGUAAGCCCUACAGGCGGGGAUGGCAGUUCCUUCCUAUUCCCUCUAAGUUGAUGUGAGGUCGUUUAGGACGAGCAUGCAUGCAUCAUGUAAUCAAACUACUUGGUAACUAAUUAAGAAUUUUAAAAUGAUACGAGGCAUAAUAGCACAAGAUAAAGUACACCACGUAAUAUGGUUAUAACCCGAGAGAGGCCAAGUUUUGAUUCCUUUUUCUUUUAUAUUUCUUUUUCUUUUUCACUUACGCUUAAUCGUACACAGAUGAAUUCUCACGGAUCCUCGGACGAAGGGAAUGCACAGUCCCACACGGACAGACUUGCACAAGAGGGUUUCCACCGUAUCUUGUGGGAGGUACUUCAGGGAGCUGGUUACACGACGCCUCCACAGUACGCGGUGCAGCUGUUUGAGAAGCACCAAGUGCCCCGCUGUAGGGUGAGGAUGACCCUAGAGCCUCAUCCCCUACAGUCAGGCUGGCGUUCGCUGGACUCUGAGUCUUUUUGAUACUGGGCUGAGGAUACUAUCGAGGCGAUUGCCCUUCACGGACUGACCACCUUCUGCGGAUUCCACCCCUUGGAGCUGUCCACUCACCCCAUUGGCUUGUUCCCUGCGGAGAAGGAGGACGACCCAAUGUGGAAGGACCGAGUGGAGCAUGCCAAGGAUAUAUGGGCUAUCUACCCAGGUCAGACUGCUCACUUGACGGUGCGGUGCAUGAAUGCCCUGUAUCGUCUGCAAGUGAUGCGAGGAGAGGCAAUGUCUAACCUAAUGGCAUUGUUGGAGGCUACCAAGAUCACCUUGGAUAACAGUGAGGAACUUGUGGUAGACUUGUCCACUGAGAUGGUGGAAAAAGACUUACAAGUGGAACAAUUGUCAAAUGAGAUCCAAGAGCUUGAGGAGCUAGUGGGAACCAGGGAGAACACCAUCGAGGUUCUCGAGGAUCAGCAACACUCAGCAGCAGCUUGCGGAGGCUAAUCAGCACUUGGAUAUGCACCACCAGGAGAUCCAGGACAUGGAGGCCAACGAGGAUGUCGACAUCGAGGGAGGAGAGGAGCCUGCCUCUAGCUUGGACACUGCUGGCUCAGGGAGACCACCUUCCCCCGAGUUGAGCGUUGCAUCGUUUGCUCACUAGGUCUCAGAGAUAGAGUUAGAAGUCUGUGGUGGUAAAACUCCUCGAGGCUAGCUUAACUUUUGUGUGGCAAAACCACCCGAAUUAUUCCAGCUUAAGUGCCUAAGUCACGCCUCAGGGGCCGCAACUCACUUAAAUCGAAAUAACCCGUCAGUCCUUCAGAUCUAGUCUGAUAGAGCCACUUAACCAGGAUCAAAUUCCACAAUCUCACUCGAAGGUGAGUUACAGAAGAAAUACAAUAAAACAGGAAACCUCAAAUUAAGUGCUGAAUUAUUACAUAGAUCGGAGUUUUUGAGUAGCAAAUAAGAGUUCUCAAAAAAAUGCAGCGGAUAAUCGAUGUUGUCGGUAAUGAGGAAAUGGGCAAGGCCUAGCCCACUACUCCUCGUGCUCCUCUCCUGCCAAAGCAGCAUCCCACUCGACCGUCCAACCCGGUGGCAGGGUGGUAGGCCAAGUCACACCAUCAACCAUUUCCUGAAUUGUACCUGCAAAAAUUAUGCCACAAGCAAGGCUGAGUAUACUAAUACUCAGCUAGACUUACCCGGUGUGAGGAGUCUACUCCUCUACCUCUAGACUAUGCAGCUGUUUGGCUGAGGGGUUGGGUUUGCCAAAAGCACUAGCUGUUUCUAAAAUUUACUUUUAACUUUUCAAAUUCUAACAUCAUUAUCUUAGCUAGGUUCGCUCCUUCUAAGCAUACAUAGUAACAAGCAUUUAGUUCAGUCAACAAAUUAUCUCAUGUGGUUCAUUUCACUUCUUACUCGAUGCAGUACAAGGGGUCAAGCAGUCUCAUUAGCUGCGAGAAGCAGACGAUUCGAAUCGAGUUUUAACCUUGCAAGGUAAACCUAAACACACGGCAUGUUAGGGUACUCUGACCCAGCACAUGACAACCGUCCCCAUCGAUUCCACGUUCGCGUCCAGGCCUCACCGCCUUGGCAUACAAGGCUCCACUGACCUCGGCUGCCGCCGUGCAGUGACCGCACUUGUACCCACCAUAUCUAGCAUGGGAGACCCAGUCUCAGGUCGCAUGAGGGAUAAAUUCCGCGCUCGACUUCACUCAGGUACUAGGUUUAUCGGUUACCAUUUUUCCCGACAUGUGCUUAGUACGUUCAAACGCUUGACUCAGGUAUCCACACAUUAAUCCUUAAUUCCUUUUUCCCGUCUCAUGGUCAAGGCAUCCUCCCUGGAUCCAAGUCCAUAGACUAACAUAGAUCCCGUUAUCAAGAUGAAUACAAUCAAUUCCUGACCUCGCACGAGUGCUAGAAAAAUCACUCGACUUCUACCGAGAUCCUGAUUAGCAAGCAGCUACUCGACCUAGUAUACUAGUAUUCAUCUCAAAAAGGAAUCCUAAGUUCAUGCAACUAGAGGUUUCAAGCAACUCCUACACUAAGUGCACAUUACAAUCCUAUAAGCAUUAAGUGUAGUAAAGUAGCAUAUAAUAAUACGGUUAUGCAUAUAAAUCGGGGCUUGCCUUCAAUAGCUGGGGCUGCAGGGAGGUCCUCGAUAGCAGCCUCGGGAGCUUGCUCCUGGUCCUCCUCUUGGACAGUUCCUUGCUCGGGGAUGAGCAUGUACUCUCCGUCGGUGAGAUUACAAUCGGUGGCGAGAUUGCCCCGGUGAGGUGGCCGAGGGUGUAGGGGAGGUCCUGACGGUCACGACGAUGUGCGGGUCGCCGUCGGGGAUGGUCAGAGUCGGCCGGUCCACGUGCGCGGGUCGGGGAGCUCGUCGGUGGUGAGGAGUCCGGCCGGAGAGCUCGGUCCACGCGCGAGGGCGGGCGACCGAAGUCCGGCGAGGGCGAUCUUGGCCUUCCAGUGAAGUUCUGCCGGGUCCGAGGGCUGGGAAAGCUUCACAAGCUAAUGGCAAAGCUAACCGAGCGGUUGGCGCGGCUUGGAAGUGACUGGAGUGGGCUGGCCACGGUGGCCGAGGCUCUGGCGGCAAUGGCGGGCGGAAAAGAGCUUGCAGGAGCUAAGGAGGGGCGUCUGGCCGGCGAAGGUGAGCGCGAGGUGAAGUGAGGCGCGCCCGGGGAGGCUUUAUAGGCGCGGGCGAGCACGACCGAGGGCAAGGGCGCGCGGCGGACUUGACUGAACGCUGGGGCGAGCGCGCGCGGGGGUUGGGCGAGCGCCGGCGUGCCGACCAGGGUCGAACACGUGUGCCCGUUCGUUCUGCCCAAGUUCUGGCGCGUGUGGUCACUCAUCCGAGCCUGCUCUCGCCUUGGUCAGUGCACAAAACCUCUUCUCCUCCCAACAAGCUACCGAUCUUGUGUUGGGGUCAUAGGAUUUUGCCUACUGGUUUCAGAGAUUUGGAGCCUGGAAAUCCGGUCUGUCUCUCUGCUCAAACCCGAGGCAAAUCCAGGGUUUUGUCGUGUCUAGGGCUCGUGUCCCAAUGCCAUCUUCUGGCAUGCGACAGAGGGGUUAGUUAUGCACAUUUUUGUCAAUGGGGCCAUUAGGAUUUGAGUUAGGGGUCAAGGUGAACACGCUUGAUCUUUGGCUCAAGGUCUGAAAUUCAGAAUUCUGAAUUUCAGAAUUCCCUAAUGAAAUCCCAUUUGAGAGGCUUGUUUAGAGUUUUAUUUAAUUUAUUUUGGCCAAGCUUCCUCAAUCUUUAUUGUUGCUUAUUAAAUAUACUUCAAUGUUUAUAAUUGGCCCAAGCCAUGAUUCUAAAUUUUUUAUACUCUUUUCCCCAUUUUCUUGAAUUUUGUUCAUAAGGCUGAAUUAGGGUUUUUGUUGGGGUUGCACAUUUUGCCUUUUUGAAAAACCCAUUUGUUUUGAUCCUGAUACUUUUUAAGUAUAGGCUUAGUGGGUUCUUUAUUCUUAAAUCAACUUGAUGUUCAUGCUAAAUUUUGGUUCACAUAAGAUGAUGGUUCUUGGGUUAGCACUUGAGAGAAACCCUAGGUGACACUAGGGUGUCACAGCCUUCCCCCCUUAAAGGAAUCUCGUCCCGAGAUUCGGGCCAGAGUCCUUCCGGGGUGAAGCGAAGGGUGAGACUUAUAGGAAGUGGGUGAUUAUUGUUAUUAUUAGAGCAAACUGCUCUUCGAAUGUCAUUCUCUUUGCAACUUUAGAAGGAAGUCCUUUUUAAAUUUUGUUUCAUGAUUACUUCAUUCCGAUUUAAGAUUAUAUUUCUGAAUUUUAGAUUCGAAGGGCAGGAGGAGUGGUUGGGUGUGAUUACGUACCAGCUUCCUUAGGUAGGCAAUCGGGGAAGUUGGAUCUCAAGAAUUCCUCGGUCUCCCAAGUAGCUUCUUCCUCUGAGUGAUUACUCCACUAGACCUUGUACAUCUUGAUCGAUUUAGCCCGAGUUGAUCUUUCUUUGCAAUCCAGAAUCUUGGAAGGGUACUCUUGGUACGAUAGAUCUGGUUCUAUCUCCAAUUCUGGCUCUGCUAUGAUCUCGGUCGGCAAUCGAACACACUUCUUCAGCUAAGAUACAUGGAACACACUAUGAAUGGCAGACAUUUUUGAAGGUAACUUCAGCUUAUAUGCCACAGGUCCACAUGCUUCGAUGAUCUCAUAAGGUCCAAUGUAACGAGGGGCUAGCUUGCCUUUGAUUCCAAACCUCUGCACUCCCUUGGUGGGUGAUACCUUGAGGUAUACGAAAUCUCCCACCUUGAACUGGAGAGGUUUCCUUCUUGUAUCAUGGUAACUCUUCUGCCUGGCCUGAGCAGCUUCUAGAUUCAUCCUGAUUAGUUUGACCUUCCUUUCGGCUUUAGUCACUAAGUCAGGUCCAAAAACUCCUCUUUCUCCAGGUUGAGACCAAUUGAGUGGUGUCCUACACCUUCUUCCAUAGAGAGCUUCGAAAGGUGCCAUCCUUAGGCUAGAUUGAUAACUGUUGUUAUAAGCAAACUCUGCCAAGGAGAGGUGCUUAUCCCAGUUCUUGCCACAAUCGAUUCCACAAGCUCUCAGCAUAUCCUCUAGAAUUUGGUUUACCCUUUCCAUCUGACCAUCAGUCUGUGGGUGGUAAGCUGAACUUCUGAUUAGCUUGGUUCCCAAAGACUCGUGCAGUUGUUCCCAAAAUCUGGCAACAAAUUGGGCUCCUCGGUCAGAAACAAUGGUCCGAGGUAAUCGGUGCAAACACACGAUCUGGUCAAUGUACAACUCUGCAUACUUUUGAGCCUUAUCAGUGGUGUGCACAGGGUGAAAAUGUGCCACUUUCGUUAGUCGGUCCACAAUAACCCAAAUCGAAUCAUGAUGACGAUAGGUGUUGGGCAGACCCACAAUGAAAUCCAUGCUGAUGUCAUCCCAUUUCCACGAAGGUAUAGAUAGGGGUUGCAAAGCUCCAGCUGAUUUCAAGUGGCUUGCCUUUACCCUCUGACAGGUGUCACAUUCCAAUACAUACUGGGCUAUCUCCCUCUUCAUUCUGGUCCACCAAUACAAAGGCUUCAGAUCAUGGUACAUUUUGGUGCUUCCCGGAUGCAUAGAGAAUUUGGAGAGAUGAGCCUCAUCCAAGAUUUUCCUCUUGAGGUCUGUUUUUUAGGAAUCACCAAUCUGCUUUUGAACCAUAACACACCCUUUUCAUCUUGGCGGAAACAAUUAUACUUCUCAACCUUCUGAUGGAGAUUCUUCUUGAUAAUCUGCACUCCCUUGUCACUGAGCUGGGCCAUGAUGAUCUGGUCUUGCAAAGCUGGCUCGACAGAAAUGUGAGACAGAGCACCAGAAGGAAUCACUUCUAUUUGCAUCUUGCUCAACUCAUCACACAAGGUGUUGAUGCGAGAAUCCAUCAGAAUACAAUUGCAUUGCAACUUUCGACUCAAGGCAUCUGCUACCACAUUGGCUUUUCCUUGGUGAUAAUGUACCUCUAGGUCAUAAUCCUUGAUCAGCUCUAGCCAUCUUCUCUGCCUCAUGUUGAGAUCAGCCUGAGUAAAGAUGUACUUAAGGCUCUUAUGAUCGGUGAAGAUGUUGCAGUGGGUUCCCAUUAAAUAGUGCCUCCACAUUUUUAACGCAUGAACCACUGCUGCCAACUCGAGGUCAUGAGUGGGAUAAUUCUGCUCAUGAGGUCUGAGUGCUCUUGAGGCAUAAGCAAUGACUCAGUUAUCUUGCAUCAAGACACAACCUAGUCCAGUGCCGGAGGCAUCACAAUACACAUCAAAAGGCUUGCUGUUGUCGGGUUGCGCUAACACUGGUGCUAUGGUCAGAUGCUGCCUUAAUGCAUGGAAGGUAUCUUCGCACUUCUGACUCCAAACAAACUUGGCUUCUUUCUUCAGCAACUCAGUUACAGGCUUCACAAUUCGAGAGAAAUCCGGAAUAAAUCUUCGGUAAUAACCAGCUAAUCCCAGAAAACUCCGAAUCUGACGGACAGUCGUUGGUGGCUUCCAGUUCAUCACCUCUUGCACUAUCAGGAUCAACAACUGUUCCUGCCUGAGAGAUAGUGUGACCCAAGAAUUUGAUUUCCUUUAGCCAAAAAUCACACUUGGACAACUUGGCAUAAAGGUGGUGCUCUCGCAGACGUUGAAGCACUACAUGCAAAUGCCCGAAAUGUUCUUCUUCGUUCUUCGAAUACAUCAAAAUAUCAUCGAUGAACACCACUACGAAUUUAUUCAAUUCAGGCAUGAAAACAGAAUUCAUCAGAUACAUGAAAUAUGCUGGUGCAUUUGUCAGCCCGAAUGACAUCACCAAAAAUUCAUAUAGCCCAUAUAUAGUUGAGAAUGCCGUCUUCGGAAUAUCGCUUGCUCGUAUCUUGAUCUGAUGGUAGCCAGAGCGAAGGUCUAUUUUGGAAAACACCUUGGCCCCGACCAACUAGUCAAAAAGAACAUCAAUACGAGGCAAAGGAUACUUGUUCUUGAUAGUUACCGCAUUAAGAGGGCGGUAAUCUAUACACAGCCUCAAGCUUUCAUCCUUCUUCUUCACAAACAGUGCUGGACAUCCCCAAGGCGAAGUACUUGGGCAAAUAAAUCCCUUAUCCAGCAACUCCUGCAAUUGCUUCUUUAAUUCUGCCAACUCAGCGGGUGGCAUUCGGUAGGGCCUCUUGGAAAUUGGUGCGGUUCUCGGUUGCAACUCGAUGGCAAAUUCAAUAUCCCGGUCUGGUGGCAUUCCUGGCAAAUCAUUAGGGAAGACAUCUGCAUACUCGCAGACCAAUGGGAUCUUCUUCAGAGGUAACUCCGUCAUAGAGAAAGCGCAUGACUGAGUAGAACCUUGACUGGGCAGAAUUAAGGUGAAGUUCUCGCAGAACGGAGAAUUAAUUUCCACGGUACGGCUGGCUACAUCAAGCACAACUUGGUGCAAGGUCAUCCAAUUAGCUCCCAGAAUAAUGUCCACAUUUUCCAAACCCAAAACAAGAAGGGUGGUUUUGACAAUGUGGCUUCCCAGUUGAAUAGGCACACUUUGGUUUAAUUGAUUAGUUGAAAUUCUACCCCCAGGUGUGACUAUCAUAAAUGACCCUUUUGAGUGAGAGAAUGGCAGUUCACAUUUAGCGCUGAACUUUUGGCUAAUGAAACUAUGAGAUGCACCAGAAUCAAACAGAAUUAAAGCAGGUUGAUUAUAAACUGAAAAGAUACCGGUCAUGAUAGGAGCUCCCUCAGGUACUUCCUCCAGAGUAGUGAAGUUGAGCUUCCCUUGCCUGACUUGUACCUUCUGCUUUCUUCCCUUGUCUUGAUUUGGUGCUGGCACCUGCCUCUGCUGGUUCCUGGGACAGUUCUUGGCAUAGUGGCCCACAUUGCCAUAAGUGAAACACUUGUUCCCAUUGCCCUGGCGGAACUGCUGCUGCUGCGGAGGCUGAUUGUUCCUUGGAGCGGGAGCUAGAAAGCGAUUGGGUGCCGGUUGCUGCUGCUGAGGUGGCCUGAUCACCCAUCUGCCUGCCUGCUGCUGGAAACCCCUGCUCUGAUUGUGAGAAACAAUCCGGAACCUCUGGGCCUGAGCGGAUGGUGCCGCCAUUGGUGCCUUUCUCUUCUUCUCUGCCCGGUGAGCUACAAUGCAAUCCUCCUUGGAGAUGGCUAGGUUGACCAACUCAUUGAAGCUAUCAGCCCGGACAGUGUUGAGUCGUUCCCGCAUCUUGGUGUUAAGACCCCUGCGAAAGCGAUCUCUCUUCUUCUCAUCAGAAUCAGCAUGGUACCCUGCAUACUGGCAUAGGUCGUUGAAGGCUUGCGCAUACUGCAGUACCGUGCGGGUUCCUUGAUUGAGCGCCAGGAACUCAUUCAGCUUGCGAUCAAGGAUGCCAGAUGGGAUGUGGUGUCCUCUGAAAGCAGUCUUGAAUUCCUCCCAAGACACUUCAUGAUCAGCGGGGAGCAUAGCACGGAAGUGGUCCCACCAAGUUCGAGUAGGGCCGCGAAGCUGCUGCGCGGCGAAGCGAGCCUUGGCUUUAUCAGGGCAGUCUCCCGUGAGGAGGGGAAACUUGGACUCAACGAUGCGGAGCCACACGUCGACAUCCAAUGGAUCCUCUGCCUUGGUGAACAAGGGCGGCUGCGUACUCAAAAACUCCUGGUAGGUUGCCGCUGCCGGAGGUCGCUGAUGCUGGCCUCCACCAUGCUCUUGAGGGUGGGGCUGGCGCUGCAAGAGCUGUCGCAGAAUCUCGUUCUACUGGGCCAUCAGCUCCUGCACUAUGGGAGCUGGAGGAGGUGGCGGGGGAACCUGCUCGUUAUGCCCGCGACGCUGCCUAGCUGCCAUCUGAAAAUAGAGAUUGGGGCCAUUGUUAUCCCCAUUCACGAUUUCGGAUGACAAGAUAUUAUCUCAUAUGGAAGGAAAAAUGCCAUAAUCAUAAUAUUAGGUUCGAAAUGAAGAUAACAUGGUGACAAACAUCCCACAGAUUCCAAAAGUUCACAGCGUUACAUUAGGGGAAAAGGUACCUGUAAGCCUAGUCCAAAAUCUGACAUUAACUAAGCUCGCAUAGGUUUCUAUCCGCCUAAAAGUGUCGAAGUGACUGAUUAACCCUGAGCGGUGGAAGCGACACUGGACACUGGACACGGGUGAUGGAGGUAUCGUGGAGGUAGUCCCAUGGGCACCAGGGGCUGGUCCUAGCUCCUCGGGAGCCUCUUCUCCCUCGCUUCCGGCUUCAUUGGCCUCCAUCUCCAAGUGCUGCAUGUCCAGGUGGUCAUUUGCUUCUUCGAGUUCCCUCUGCACAUCGUGGAGCUGGUUCUCCAAGACAUCAAUAGUGUUGUCUCGGAUCUCCACCUGCUGCUCCAAGGUGGUAAUGCGCUGGCUCAGCCUUUCCACCUGCAGAUCCUUCUCUACCAACUCGGUGGAUAAAUCGACCACAAAAUCUUCCCGACUGUCGAGAGUGAGCUUGGCGGUUUGAGCGAUGUUAGCAAGGUGUGCCAUAGCGUCGCUCUGAAGGGCUUGAAGGCGGUACAGUGCAUUCAUGCACUGAACGGUGACCCUCCCAACCAUGUCAGGAUACAUUGCCCACACAUCCUUCACAUGGCUCACUCGGUUACACCACAUGGGAUCAUCCUUCUUCUCAGCAGGGAAGAGUCCCAAGGGGUGCAUCACCAUCUUCAGGGGAUGGUAGCCACAAAAAGUCGCCAGAGUCUUCAUGGCUGCCGCUUCAAUGGUGUCAUCCGUCCUGAGUCCAAUUGUCUCGGAAUCAAGAGAACACCAACCUGGCUGAAGGGAUGAGCCUCCAAAGUCAGCCAGACCCGACAACGAGGUACCCGAUGCUCCUCAUACAACUGCACCAUGUACAAAGGGGGCGUAGGGUAACCGGCAGAGUUAAGCACUUCCCACAAGAUGGAAGGAAAGCCAUCGCGAGAAAGGAAGUCAGAACUGAAACGAGUGUCUCCUCCACUGGCGGGGUGGGUGAAUUCAUCUGCGGAAGGGCAUCAAAGGUAAAGAUUAUGGUGGAAGGAAAAAGAAAAGAGAGCCCGGAUGGUUUUUAAAGGAAGUGGGUUAGCUCAAGUUUUAAUUCCUCUUUGUGUUUAUAAUGCAUGCAUGCUGGAAGUAACGUCUCAUCUCCAAAUAAUAGGGUGCUCUUAGGGCAUCCUUAAAAAGUCUAAGUACUGGCCCACGGGGCCUAAUUAAUUAGCCACCUAUUUCUCCCACUAUGCCUAAGGCCUUUCGUCCUAGGUUUAGCGGUCUAGUCAUGACGAUCCGUAGCAGUUUCUAGGCAAGUUUUAAUUUCUGAAAAUGGUAUCCAUGGUUUAUUGUCCUUCUCUGCGGUGGAAUUUGCUCCAAUACCAGCUGUGGCAGAACCACCCGAAUUAUUCCAGCUUAAGUGCCUAAGUCACGCCUUAGGGGCCGCAACACACUUAAAUCGGAAUAACCCGCCAGUCCUUCAGAUCUAGUCUGAUAGAGCCACUUAACCAGGAUCAAAUUCCACAAUCUCACUCGAAGGUGAGUUACAGAAGAAAUACAAUAAAACUGGAAAUCUCAAAUUAAGUGCUGAAUUAUUACAAAGAUCGGAGUUUUUGAGUAGCAAAUAAGAUUUCUCAAAAUAAAAUGCAGCGGAUAAUCGAUGUCGUCGGUAAUGAGGAAAUGGGCAAGGCCUAGCCCACUACUCCUCGUGCUCCUCUCCUACCGGAGCAGCAUCCCACUCGACCAUCCAACCCGGUGGCAGGGUGGUAGGCCAAGUCACACCAUCAACCAUUUCCUGAAUUGUACCUGCAAAAAUUAUGCCACAAGCAAGGCUAAGUAUACUAAUACUCAACUAGACUUACUCGGUGUGAGGAGUCUACUCCUCUACCUCUAGACUAUGCAGCUGUUUGGCUGAGGGGUUGGGUUUGCCAAAAGCACUAACUGUUUCUAAAAUUUACUUUUAGCUUUUCAAAUUCUAACAUCAUUAUCUUAGCUAGGUUCGCUCCUUCUAAGCAUACAUAGUAACAAGCAUUUAGUUCAGUCAACAAAUUAUCUCAUGUAACCUCAUUUCACUUCUUACUCGAUGCAGUACAAGGGGUCAAGCAGUCUCAUUAGCUGCGAGAAGCAGACGAUUUGUAUCGAGUUUUAACCUUGCAAGGUAAACCUAAACACAUGGCAUGUCAUGGUACUCCGACCCCGCACAUGACAACCGUCCCCAUCGAUUCCCCGUUCGCGUCCAGGCCUCACCGCCUUGGCAUACAAGGCUCCACUAACCCCGGCUGCCGCCGUGCAGUGAACGCACUUGUACCACCAUAGCUAGCAUGGGAGACCCAGUCUCAGGUCGCAUGAGGGAUAAAGUCCGCGCCCGGCUUCACUCAGGUACUAGGUUUAUCGGUUACCAUUUUUCCCGACAUGUGCUUAGUACGUUCAAACGCUUGACUCAGGUGUCCACACAUUAAUCCUUAAUUCCUUUUUUCCCGUCUCAUGGUCAAGGCAUCCUCCCUGGAUCCAAGUCCAUAGACUAACAUAGAUCCCGUUAUCAAGAUGAAUACAAUCAAUUCCUGACCUCGCGCGAGUGCUAGAAAAAUCACUCGACUUCUACUGAGAUCCUGAUUAGCAAGCAGCUACUCGUCCUAGCAUACUAGUAUUCAUCUCAAAAAGGAAUCCUAAGUUCAUGCAACUAGAGGUUUCAAGCAACUCUACACUUAAGUGCACAUUACAAUCCUACAAGCAUUAAGUGUAGUAAAGUAGCAUAUAAUAAUACGGUUAUGCAUAUAAACCGAGGCUUGCCUUCAAUAGCUGGGGCUGCACGGAGGUCCUCGAUAGCAGCCUCGGGAGCUUGCUCCUGGUCCUCCUCUUGGACAGUUCCUUGCUUGGGGAUGAGCACGUACUCUCCGUCGGUGAGAUUACAAUCGGCGGCGAGAUUGCUCCGGUGAGGUGGCCGAGGGUGUAGGGGAGGUCCUGACGGUCACGACGAUGUGCGGGUCGCCGUCGGGGAUGGUCGGAGUUGGCCGGUCCGCGUGCGCAGGCGGGGGAGCUCGUCGGCGGCGAGGAGUCCGGCCGGAGAGCUCGAUCCAUGCGCGGGGGCGGGCGACCGAAGUCCGGAGAGGGCGAUCUUAGCCUUCCGGUGAAGUUCUGCCGGGUCCGAGGGCUAGGAAAGCUUCACAAGCUAAUGGCGAAGCUAAUCGAGCGGCUGGCGUGGCUUGGAAGUGAAUGGAGUGGGCUUGCCACAGUGGCCGAGGCUCUAGCGGCAAUGACGGGCGGAAAAGAGCUCGCCGGAGCUAAGGAGGGGCGUCUGGCCGGCGAAGCUGAGCUCGAGGUGAAGUGAGGCGCGCCCGGGAAGGCUUUAUAGGCGCGGGCGAGCACGACCGAGGGCAAGGGCGCGCGGCGGACUUGACUGAACGCUGGGGCGAGCGCGCGCGCGGGUUGGGCGAGCGCCGGCGUGUCGACCAGGGUCGAACACGUGUGCCCGUUCGUUCUGCCCAAGUUCUGGCGCGUGUGGUCACUCAUCCGAGCUUGCUCUCGCCUUGGUCAGUGCACAAAACCUCUUCUCCUCCCUACAAGCUACCGACCUUGUGUGGGGGUCAUAGGAUUUUGCCUAAUGGUUUCGGAGAUUUGGAGCCCGGAAAUCCGGUCUGUCUCUCUGCUCAAACCCGAGGCAAAUCCAGGGUUUUGUCGUGUCUAGGGCUCGCGUCCCAAUGCCAUCUUCUAGCAUGCGACAGAGGGGUUACUUAUGCACAUUUUUGUCAAUGUGGCCAUUAGGAUUUGAGUUAGGGAUCAAGGUGAACACGCUUGAUCUUUGGCUCAAGGUCUGAAAUUCAGAAUUCUGAAUUUCAGAAUUCCCUAAUGAAAUCCCAUUUGAGAGGCUUGUUUAGAGUUUUAUUUAAUUUAUUUUGGCCAAGCUUCCUCAAUCUUUAUUGUUGCUUAUUAAAUAUACUUCAAUGUUUAUAAUUGGCCCAAGCCAUGAUUCUAAAUUUUUCAUACUCUUUUCCCCAUUUUCUUGGAUUUUGUUCAUAGGGCUCAAUUAGGGUUUUUGUUGGGGUUGCACAUUUUGCCUUUUUGAAAAACCCAUUUGUUUUGAUCUGAUACUUUUUAAGUAUAAGCUUAGUGGGUUCUUUAUUCUUAAAUCAACUUGAUGUUCAUGCUAAAUUUUGGUUCACAUAAGAUGAUGGUUCUUGGGUUAGCACUUGAGAGAAACCCUAGGUGACACUGGGGUGUCACAUUUUGCACCCUUGGGGUACUAGGCUAGAUAGAGUUGAGUCUUUUGUGUUAUUGAUGUAAUCAUGACAAACUCUUUUGGAAGCAUGGUUGAUGAAUGAUGUCAGUCUUAAUUUAAGAAGAAAAGUCUAUGCCACGUGGAAUCUUUUAUAAUUAUGCAAGAAUAUAUUGGUUUUACCCUUUUGACUCUUUCACCAUGAUUGAACCUUGAACCUCAGAAAUGUGAUAUUGAGAAUAUACAUGAUUUUUCAGAUGGCAGGAAGAGCGCGUCGUGGACAGAAUGAGCGCAUUCCUCCACCACCGCCUCCUACUCUGCAAGAGCUGAUGGCUCAGCAGAACGAGAUUCUGCGAUAGUUGGCGCAGCGUCAGCCGCCACCUCAGCAUUAUGGUGGUGGUGAUCAUCAGCGUCACCCCGCAGCAGCCACUUAUCAGGAGUUCCUUAGUACCCAGCCACCGUUGUUCACCAAGGCAGAGGACCCACUUGAUGCUGAUGUAUGGCUGAGGGUAGUGGAAUCCAAAUUCCCGCUACUCCAUGGAGUUUGUUCAGAGGUAACUAAGGUCAGGUUCACCACCCAGCAGCUUCGCGGACCCGCGCGGACAUGGUGGGAUCAUUUCCUUGCUAUGCAGCCAGUUUACCAUGAGGUGGAAUGGAGAGAGUUCAAGGCAGCUUUCAGGGGGCAUCAUAUAUCAGCAGGCAUUAUGGACCGAAAGCUCAAUGAGUUUCUGGCACUCACUCAAGGGAACCGGACAGUGUUACAGUAUGCUCAGGCCUUCAAUGACCUGUGCCAGUAUGCCGGAUAUCAUGCAGACAUCGACGAGAAGAAGAGGGACAGGUUCAGGAGGGGGCUCAGCACUAAGCUCUGUGACCGUCUCAACACAGUCAGGGCCAACAGCUAUAAUGAGUUAGUCAACAUGGCCAUUUCUCAGGAGGACUGUAUCACAGCUCGUCAAGCAGAGAAGAAGUGGAAGACCCCUGUGGCAGGACCUUCUGCUCAGCCACAGCGCUUCAGGAUUGUCUCUGACACUUAGAACAGGGGACCCAAGCAGCAGCAAGGACGUUGGGUGAUUCGACCCCAAUAGCAGCAGCAGGCAUCCACCCGCUCUCAGCCCCCAGUGCAGAGGAACAAUCAACAAUAGCUGCAGUACCGUCAGGCUAAUGACAACAGGUGUUUCACUUGUGGUAACACCGGACAUUAUGCUAAGAAUUGCCCCAGAAACCAGUAGAGCCAGGGACAGAAUGUCAACCAGAACCAAGGCAAAAGGCAGAAGGUGCAAGUGAGGCAAGGCAGCUAAACUUCACCACCAUGGCUGAUAUUCCAGAGGGAGCACCCGUCAUGAUUGGUACCUUUUCAGUUUUGAAUUAUCCUGCUAUUAUUCUUUUUGAUUCUGGUGCAUCACACAGUUUUAUCAGUACCAAAUUUAGUGCCAAGUGCCAAUUACCUUUUCACCACACCAAUGGGGGUAUUACAAUUUCAACACCAGGAGGCAGGGUUGCCACCUACCAAAUCAACAAGAAUGUGCCUAUAAAGUUUGGUAGUCUGAUAAUCAAAACCAACCUCCUCAUUUUGGGUUUGGAUAGCAUGGAUAUCAUAUUGGGAACUGACUGGUUAACCAGAAAUCAGGCAGUAAUUGAUAUUGCAGCAAGGGCCAUUGAGGUGCACUCGCCUACUUAUGGUGAAACCACAUUAUAUCUGCCCGCUCAGGGUUGUACCCGUUCCUGUGCCUUCGUUAUGAUAGAAUCCCCGGUUGAGAGAAGCUCCGUAGUCUGCGACUACCCAGAUGUCUUUCCUGAUGAAUUGCCGGGAAUGCUACCCGACAGAGACAUCGAGUUCGCGAUUGAAUUGUAACCUGGGCCUGCUCCUAUAUCCAAGAGACCCUAUAGGAUGCCUCCCGCGGAAUUAGCGGAGUUGAAAAAGCAACUACAAGAAUUGUUGGACAAAGGAUUCAUUCACCCAAGUACUUCAUCCUGGGGAUGUCUGGCCUUAUUUGUGAAGAAAAAGGACGAGAGUUUGAGAAUGUGUGUCGAUUACCGCCCUCUCAAUGCGGUGACCAUCGAGAACAAAUACCCACUGCCCCACAUUGAUGUUUUGUUUGAUCAGUUUGUGGGAGCCAAAGUGUUCUCCAAGAUAGACCUUCGCUCGGGUUACCAUCAGAUCAAGAUUCGUGCCAGUGAUAUUCCCAAGACAGCUUUCUCUACCAGAUAUGGGCUUUAUGAGUUUUUGGUGAUGUCUUUUGGGCUGACCAAUGCCCAGCUUAUUUCAUGUAUCUGAUGAACUCCGUGUUCAUGCCAGAACUAGACAAAUUUGUGGUGGUUUUCAUUGAUGACAUUCUGGUGUAUUCCAAAAAUGAAGCCGAGCACACUAAGCAUUUACAUACCGUACUUCAGAGACUGCGUGACCAUCAGUUGUAUGCUAAAUUGUCCAAAUGUGAUUUCUGGCUGAAGGAGAUAAAAUUUUUGGGUCACACAAUUUCUCAGGAUGGGAUAUCAGUUGAUCUUGAGAAGGUACAAGAAGUAAUGAAUUGGAAACCUCUACCACAGUGCGGCAGAUUCGGAGUUUUCUGGGAUUGACAGGGUAUUAUCGACGAUUUAUUUUGGAUUUCUUCAGAAUUGCCAAGCCAAUGACUAAACUGUUGAAGAAGGGAGUCAAGUAUGAAUGGAGCCAGAAGUGUGAGGAUGCCUUUCAUACACUAAGGCAGCACUUGACAACAACACCAGUGCUAGCUCAACCUGACAACACCAAGCCCUUUGAAGUUUAUUGUGAUGCUUCCGGUACUGGAUUGGGAUGUGUCUUAAUGCAAGACAAUAGAGUCAUUGCUUAUGCCUCCCAAGCACUCAGACCCCAUGAGAAGAACUACCCCAUACAUGAUCUGGAGUUAGCAGUUGUGGUUCAUGCUCUCAAGAUAUGGAGACAUUACUUGAUGGGAGCUCACUGUAACAUUUACACUGAUCAUAAGAGUCUCAAAUAUAUCUUCACCCAGGCUGAUCUUAAUAUGAGGCAGAGAAGAUGGUUAGAGCUAAUCAAGGACUAUGAUUUGGAGGUGCAUUACCAUCCUGGCAAAGCCAAUGUUGUGGCAGAUGCUUUAAGCAGGAAAGCCCAGUGCAAUUGUAUGAAAAUGGAUGCAAGGAUCACCACCCUAUGCGAUGAGUUGUGCAAGCUAAAAAUAGAAGUCGUUUCCUCCGGUGCUUUAAGUUAUAUUUCAGUGGAGCCCACCUUACAUGAGCAAAUAGUCAUGGCACAGAUUGGUGACAAGGGUGUUCAAGUUAUCAAGGAAAUGAUCAAACAAAAGGUGGACAAAUACAAAUGCUUCCGUCAGGACAGCAAAGGAAUCCUAUGGUUUGGAGACCGAUUGGUUGUUCCCAAGAACCCUGAGCUCAGAAAGAAGAUAUUGGAUGAGGCUCACCUUUCAAAAUUCUCCAUGCACCCCGGUAGUAAUAAGAUGUAUCAUGACCUCAGUCCUUAUACUGGUGGACCAGAAUGAAGAGGGAGAUUGCUAAGUAUAUCUCUGAAUGUGACACCUGCCAGAGAGUCAAGGCCAGUCAUUUCAAAGUAGCAGGCACUUUGCAACCCCUUCCCAUACCAUCUUGGAAAUGGGAGGAUAUUUGCAUGGAAUACCAAGGACUAUAGUAUCUGAUAGAGGAGCACCGUUCGUGGCACGAUUUUGGGAGCAAUUGCAAGAGUCACUUGGGACCCAUGUAAUAAGAAGCUCAGCAUACCAUCCCCAAACAGAUGGUCAGACAAAAAGGGUGAAUCAGAUUUUGGAAGACAUGUUGAGGGCAUGUGUGCUACACUAUGGAAAGGAUUGGGACAAGUGUCUUUCAUUGGCAGAGUUCUCUUAUAAUAACAGCUACCAGUCCAGUUUGAAGAUGGCACCUUUUGAAGCCUUGUAUGGGAGAAGGUGUAGGACCCCGCUGAAUUGGUCUCAAGCAGGAGAGAGGGAAAUAUUUGGGCCAGACUUGGUACUUGAAGUAGAGGAAAAGGUUAGAGUUAUUAAGAAGAACCUAGAAGCUGCUCAGGCCAGGCAAAAGAGCUAUCAUGAUAAGAGAAGGAAGCCUCUACAGUUUGGAGUGGGAGAUCAUGUUUAUCUUAAGGUGUCACCCACCAAAGGUGUCCAGAGAUUUGGAAUCAAGGGCAAGUUAGCUCCUCGCUACAUUGGACUCUAUGAGAUCAAGGAAACUUGUGGACCUGUAGCAUAUCAAUUGAAGUUGCCAUCCCACAUGUCAGCAGUUCAUGUUGUGUUCCAUGUAUCCCAGCUAUGGAAAUGUGUCCGCUUACCCACUGAAGUGCUACCUGAACCAGAAAUUGAGAUAGAACCAGACUUGUCUUAUCAAGAGCACCCCGUAAAGGUAUUGGACCAAAAGGAGAGAUCAACGCGGGCAAGGUCGCUCAGAAUGUAUAAGGUUCAGUGGAGUCACCAUUCAGUAGAAGAGGCUACAUGGGAGACUGAGGAUUUUCUACGUUCUCGCUUCCCCGACAUUCUACCCAAAGGAGUCGGUACGUAAUCCAAAAGCCCACCCCACCUGCCCUUUGAAUCUAAAUAUAAGAAAAAUUUAGAUGUUAAAGGUAGUGUAAGCUUUGAAAAUGACUCAAAAAGGACUUCCUUCUAAAGUCGCAAAGAGAAUGACAUUCGAAGAGCAGUUAACUAGAGAAACUUGGAUGAAGGAAGGAGCAACACACCAGCACACCUUCAUGGCACCCCUCCAAAGAACUCUACCUAAAAUCUCGGGAUGAGAUUCCUUUAAGGGGGGAGGGUUGUAACACCCCAAGUGUUACUUAGGGUUUUCACUCAAGACUACACAAGUAAGCCCAUCAUCACAUGUGACUUAAGUUGGGAAAAGUACACCAAAUUUGGAGCUCAAGAUCCUAAGUAAGUGCAACUCAUCCUAGAAGUCAUACCUUGGCUUGUCAUACAAAUAUAAUGGGGAGAAUUGCCCAAACCCUAAUUCAAACCCCUUUGGACAAGUGGAGCACUAGAAGUAAGUAUGAUCAAAAGGCUGUGAAAACCACAUGAUCAUGACUUGGGCCAAUUAUAAAAGAUGUAGUACACUUAAUACCCUACAAAUGAUAGUAAGAAAGUGACCCCAAAAAGAUUUCAGAAAAACCCCAAAAGGUUCACCAAAGGGUUGAGCAUAAAAGGAAAAUCAGAAUUCUUCUAAGUCCAAAACCACCCCUUUUCCAAAGAUCAAACAUGUUCACCCUUAUUCAAACUUCAAAACCACUUGGCACAAAUGACAAAGUGGCGCCAAAAUACCCCUAGAACACCCUGGAAAAGUUUGAACCCAACCCUAAGUCGUUUGACAUGACUUGGCACAAGAUUUGUCUCGGUUUGGACAGCUAGGACAAAGACAACUUCGCACCCCCAUAUCUCUCUAACCCGACCACAUCUCCCCUUGGAACUCACAUGAACUAGGUAGCCCUAGGUGCAGGGAAGAGAUCUCUCAUAGGUCUUAGGGCAAGAUUCGCACGUUUUGGCCGCUCAGCAGAGGGUAGAACUAGAACAGAAGCAAAGAGCCAUGUGUUCGACGCGCUCUGAGCUCGCCAGAGCACGCCCGACGCCCGCCCCCGCGUGCCCCGCGUCGCGCCAAAGCCGAGCUGGCGCCGUUGCUUGUGCCCGCGCCUAUUAAGCCACCAGGGACUUCGACCGUACUCCUCCGCACGCGCUCGACCUCAUCGGAGCACCAGAUCACCGGCAUUGCCCCGCGCAUGGCGUGCCCGCGGCCACCCGAUCACCCGCCACCGUAGACCGGCCAGUAGAUCCUCUCCUAGCCGCGUCCGACCCUCAGAGUAGACCGUGCAUGCCUCGGUGAAGCUCCCCGAGCAAGGAAUCGAACUUUGCCUCGCCGGAGAAGCCAGUCCACAGUCGCCGGACUUCACCCGACCGCCGGUGAACGUAGAUCGAGCUCCACGGUUAGUUAUUUUUCAAUUCCUUGCACGUGUCGACUCAUUAACACCCUGUGAAGCUCCCCAUGCACUUGGAUUGACCGGAAUCGCCGUGGUUAGGCUGGAACACUCGCCGCCGACGAGUUCACCCGCCUGCGCACAUGGACCGGCCGAUUCCGACCACCACAGCCAUCGAGCCGUACCUCGCUGUGACCGCCAGAACCUUCCGGAGCCAACCCCGCCCCUCGCCGGACCUCUCUCACCGCCGGUAAGCCGCGCCGCCCUUUUUCCUUCCGCAGUUACUAUUUUCAUAAGGGGAGGGACCUCGGGGGAGAAGAAGAAAAGGCCAGGGGGUUUUGUGCAUUGUCAGCGACUCAAGGGAAUAGUGGCGCAGGGGUAUAACUGUAGGGAUUAGUUUAGAAAGAACCCAGGGUCUUCGAUGCAAAGUGGAUUUCCAGAAAACCUUUUUAAUAUUCUGAUUUAAAUGCAACCAGAACUUGAGAAAUUUAUAACUUCAGUUUGGUUCAUCCAAAUCAAGUCAAACCAAUUUUGCUAGAUCCUAAAUAAUAUAAACUACUUAGGAAAAAUAUAAAACCCCAAAGUGUUGUAGAAAACUUUAAAGUUAUGAUUUAAUUGAUUAUCUGGUCAAAAGCUAAAGAAAAUAAGAAAAAUAGCUACUCUAUUAGACUGGGGUUAAGAAAAUUCAGAGAAGUACUUAAUCACUUUUUAACCUAUUUAAAAAUAAUAAACCCCUCUAUACACAAAAUUAAGGUAGAGUUUGUCAUUUAAAUCAUUUUUAGCCUAAAGUUAGAGAAAAUAUAAAAGGUAGUUUAAAAUAAGAACCAGGGAGCACCCACAUUUUUGUUGGCUCCCUUAUUCAGUGUAGUUCACUAGAAAAAUUUAUUAUACCUUUGUUUAGUACAAAAGAAAGGAGAUACCUUUUAAUUUAGAAAAACAAGGAAAACUUAGAAAAACCGUAGAAAAAUACCCCUGAGGAGAAAACACCUCAAACCUUGGGAUAACUAAUGUUUUGUUAUUGUAAACAUAGAAAAAUUAUGAGUUCUGUUGUUUGACAUUUUUCAAAUAACAAGUUAGUUAUAAGUAUCUUUUUAACAUUAAACUUUAGAAAAUCAUAACUAAACAACCACUAAGUAACCUUCUGUGAUUUUUUGACACAGAAGCAUGUUAUUACCUAUAUAUACCAGCAAAAAUGGCUCUUAGUACAGAACCCACCCUUAGUUAAGAGUUGUAGUGCAAAGUGACCCCUUUGCCCCAACUUUUGUUAUUUUUGUCCAGGGCAUAUUCUAUUUAUUCUGGACCUCAAAUUUAUAGGACAGACUACAGUGACAAAUAGUAACCUACUAUAAUUUUUACAGAAUUUUUGGAAAACGUUAAAUCACUGUUGUAGUUCAAACCCACACUAAAAUUCAUAAAUAGAAAAUGAAAGGGGGAAUUAAUAGUGGAGACUAAUGUUACCCUAACCAAACCAGCAAAACCCCUUGAGUGCCUACUAAAGCAUUUAAGAGGCAAUCCAAGUCUUAAUCCAUUAUGCUUAGGCAAAAUCUCAAACCUAAAUUGGUAAGCAUAACCACUAAGAGCCUCUUAUAACCAGGAAACCCUAAGUUAUUCACUAACUUAGUUCUCUUCACUUAGCAUGAUGAUUUCUAAAUACUGCAUAAUCAUAGCAUACAUGUUUCUUACUCAUUGCAUUCGAUAGAUUGCAACCUAGCUGACGGAGAAUACAUCCUCGUGCCGGAGCAAGGAGUUG